rnacentral:lncRNA from 1 species
GUCGUGUUAAAUCAACCAUAGCAGUAAGUGUAAGGGGGAACAUCAUAUAAAAUAGAAAUUAAACAUUAUAAAACAAUGAAUUUAAUUCCUGUAAAUACAUGUAUCAUUUCAAAAUUUCAUAAAAUAUACAAACAAGUUCCAUAUGACUUGGGAAGUAUAAUUUGAAAGGCAUAUCAAUACAAUAUAUUUUAACCUUUAAAAAAUAUAAAAUUAUUUGUACUGGCUUCAAAAUUGAGGAAAGGCAAUGUCUGCUUCUUAACUUUGUACAUUGUGUGUGUAUCUAUUUGUUAAACUGUUUUUUAGAGAUGUUGUGCAAAUACUAAACUCUGUAGAAAUCAAGUUUUAUGUUAAAAGAAAAUAUGCAACCUAGGAUUUUACUAAAUAUUUUCUGGACUUUUAAAUGAAUAAAAAAAUAUAGUAUUAUG